rnacentral:RNase_P_RNA from 1 species
GAAGCGGGCCAGGCGAUCGCGCGACCGGGAUUCGUCCCGGCGUGAGGAAAGUCCGGGCUCCACAGGGCAGGAUGCUGGCUAACGGCCAGGCGGGGCGACCCGACGGAAAGUGCCGCAGAAAAGAAGACUCCCACCUGCGCGCAAGCGUAAAGGGAAAAGCUGAAACGGUGGUGUAAGAGACCACCAGCGUCGCGGCAACGCGGCGGCUUGGUAAACCCCAUCCGGAGCAAGCGCGAAUAGGAGCGCCAUGGGCCGGCCCGGUCCGCGCUCGGGUAGCGUGCGAAGAGCCGCGCGGCAACGCGUGCGCCAAGAUAAAUGAUCGCUCACGACAGAACCCGGCUUAUCGGUCCGCUUCGCAU